rnacentral:lncRNA from 1 species
UCAGAAUAUUAAUUGAUUCCAAAUCAAAUAUAGCAAUAUAUUAAUAGAUUCUAAAUCGAAUUUGGUCUAGAAAUUAUACUCAUAUAUACGAGGCAGUGGCUGCGUAAUCAACCGUGGAUCAUGGAACGCGACUCCGGUUCUUUUCGUAUCGACGUCGAGAGACAUUAUUUUUCCUAACCUCAUGGCGUACGUCAACAGACUCAUAGAAUCUAUUUGCACCAUCUACCGAUAGCAACACUGCAGUCUCAGCUCCAUGUGUAUCCUUGAAGGUAACA